CAGUAGCCGCGGGAAUACGUAGGUGGCAAGCGUUGUCCGGAAUUAUUGGGCGUAAAGUGCUCGCAGGCGGUUUCUUAAGUCUGAUGUGAAAGCCCCCGGCUCAACCGGGGAGGGUCAUUGGAAACUGGGAAACUUGAGUGCAGAAGAGGAGAGUGGAAUUCCACGUGUAGCGGUGAAAUGCGUAGAGAUGUGGAGGAACACCAGUGGCGAAGGCGACUCUCUGGUCUGUAACUGACGCUGAGGAGCGAAAGCGUGGGGAGCGAACAGGAUUAGAUACCCCCGUAGUCCCUGUCUCUUAUAC
rnacentral:rRNA from 1 species